rnacentral:rRNA from 1 species
GACGAACGCUGGCGGCGUGCUUAACACAUGCAAGUCGAACGGACAGGCCCUGCUUUUGUUGGGUGCUCGAGUGGCGAACGGGUGAGUAACACGUGAGUAACCUGCCCUUGACUUUGGGAUAACUUCAGGAAACUGGGGCUCAUACCGGAUAGGAGCUCCUGCUGCAUGGUGGGGGUUGGAAAGUUUCGGCUGUUGGGGAUCGACUCGCGGCUUAUCAGCUUGUUGGUGUGGUAGUGGCUUACCAAGGCUUUGACGGGUAGCCGGCCUGAGAGGGUGACCGGCGACAUUGGGACUGAGAUACGGCCCAGACGCCUACGGGAGGCAGCGGUGGGGAAUAUUGCACAAUGGGCGGAAGCCUGAUGCAGCAACGCCGGGUGCGGGAUGACGGCCUUCGGGUUGUAAACCGCUUUCGCAUGUGACGAAGCGUGAGUGACGGUAAUGGGUAAAGAAGCACCGGCUAACUACGUG